rnacentral:rRNA from 1 species
UACAGAGGGUGCAAGCGUUGUUCGGAAUCAUUGGGCGUAAAGAGCGUGUAGGCGGCCAUGCAGGUCCGUUGUGAAAACUCGAGGCUCAACCUCGAGACGCCGGUGGAAACCGCAUGGCUAGAGUCCGGAAGAGGAGAGUGGAAUUCCUGGUGUAGCGGUGAAAUGCGCAGAUAUCAGGAAGAACACCCGUGGCGAAGGCGGCUCUCUGGGACGUGACUGACGCUGAGACGCGAAAGCGUGGGGAGCAAACAGG